GUCGGGUAGGCUGCGGAGCUAUGAGGCUGGAAGGUGUCGCGCGUGAGCGAGCCCAGCCCAAGUUGCACACACGCAUGUGGGCUUCCCUAACCGACACGGGUGAAGUGUGUGAUGUGUGUGGGGAAGGGGAAGAGAUGGUGUGUUCUUGGACUUCUUUUCACCACAUGCUCCAUGUGAUUUUUAAACCCCAAUUCAGUAAAUUCACAUGGUAAUUAUCCUCUAU
rnacentral:lncRNA from 1 species